UUGAGCCGUGUGCUUGGAAACUGGCACGCACGGUUCUUAGGGGGCGUAAGCUACCCGGU
rnacentral:ncRNA from 1 species